rnacentral:lncRNA from 1 species
CAAAGGCUGAAGGAUAAAAAUAUAUGUUUCUUUACUGAUUGGAUCUUCAGUAUGCCAUAUAGUCCUCCUAGAGAAGAACGAAUGUAAAAUCUACUUGUUGAAGGAAAUGGUUGAUGCCAGAGAAAGAACAGACGAGCAUGACCUGAGCAAAAACCACAUAAAGGAAGAGGGUAAUCUUGUCUAAAAAGCAGCAGAUACCUCGGAACCUCAUCAACAGCUGUCCACCCUGCAAUCUCCAGGCAUCUUCUCAAUGGAAAACUGAGCUUGCGGGGUUUUGGCUGAAGAGACCUUUUAGGCACAACUUAGUUGCUAGGCUUCAGGUCUGCAGUGACCUUCUUUGAUUUUGGUUCUAACGCGGCGUUGACAUUUUUCUGUACGUCCUCACUAAAACCGACAUAUAUUAUCCUUAGCGACAAGAAUUCGAAAAAGCCAGAAAGGGAUGGGCGAUGAGUUAGAAGAGUCAGGUCAACUAAAAAGACAAAAGAAGAAGGUGAG